rnacentral:rRNA from 1 species
UACAGAGGGUGCGAGCGUUGUCCGGAAUCACUGGGCGUAAAGGGCGCGUAGGUGGCGCAACAAGUCAGUGGUGAAAGCUCGACGCUCAACGUCGAGUCGGCCACUGAGACUGUUGGGCUUGAGCACUGUAGAGGCAGAUGGAAUUCCCGGUGUAGCGGUGGAAUGCGUAGAUAUUGGGAGGAACACCAGUGGCGAAGGCGGCUCACUGGACCGGAACUGACGCUGAGGCGCGAAAGCGUGGGGAGCAAACGGG